rnacentral:misc_RNA from 1 species
AAGUCGUAACAAGGUUUCCGUAGGUGAACCUGCGGAAGGAUCAUUAUCACGUAUCCACGUACUAACCCCCGUGAACUUAUCCCCCUCUUGGGUGCAAGGCGGCGCAGACAUUAUCCCUUUCUUAUCGUGAUUUAAGGACGUAGUCUGCGUCUGGUGUUAAAACCGAACCUUGUGUCCUUGAGCGUAUUCAUUAAACCGCGAUAUUUAAACCUCAUUAACAACUUGUAACCUUCUGAACUGAUUUUGUUUCAUGUUUCUUUUAUUGUCCCGCAAGGGAUAACGAAAGCUUGAAAUCAUUGUACGAAACGCAAAACAACUCUUAGCAACGGAUAUCUUGGUUCCC